UUUUGGACAAUGGGGGAAACCCUGAUCCAGCCAUUCCGCGUGUGCGAUGAAGGCCUUCGGGUUGUAAAGCACUUUUGGCAGGAAAGAAAUCGCACAAAUUAAUACUUUGUGUGGAUGACGGUACCUGCAGAAUAAGCACCGGCUAACUACGUGCCAGCAGCCGCGGUAAUACGUAGGGUGCAAGCGUUAAUCGGAAUUACUGGGCGUAAAGCGUGCGCAGGCGGUUCGGAAAGAAAGGUGUGAAAUCCCAGGGCUUAACCAUGGAACUGCACUUUUAACUCCCGAGCUAGAGUAUGUCAGAGGGGGGUGGAAUUCCGCGUGUAGCAGUGAAAUGCGUAGAUAUGCGGAGGAACACCGAGGCGAAGGCAGCCCCCUGGGAGAUACUGACGCUCAUGCACGAAA
rnacentral:rRNA from 1 species